CCAAAUUGCGUCCUUCUCUCCCGGCUGCUUGCAAAAAGCAAAGCCGCGAUCCGGGAGAUGCACCUGCCGGUGCCUUUACGCCAAAGGGAGAUGCCCCGGACUGGGGGGUGGUGCCAAACGCACAGACCCCCCUGAGGAGUUAGCAGAUGGAAAGAUCUGGAUUGCUCGAGCGUUUUAGGGUAAGGGGGAAAAAAAGACAAGAGGCGGGAAAGCAGGAAUCAAGUGAACAAGCCAAGCGAGAGAACGCGGUUAGCGCCGAAGUAAGAAGAAGAGGCAUGCGCGUUUGGAAACGUUCCCCACCUCGGCUCUGCUUCUGAGGCUGCUGCGUUUAGGUCUGAGCAGGACAUCUUUAAAGUCCAGUUUGAGGUCUGCGUCUACGCGGGGCAUCUCGAGAAAGUGUGAGUUGUGCCAGUUAUCAUAGAAGAAGAGGAUAAGUAUUAUAAAUAGAAAGCAGGGCAUUUUGUUUCUUUGCUGCACGAAAGCGGAUAAUAGGCUCCAGUUUUUUAUUAUCUAUACUUUGCAAGCAUGCAGUAUCUUAGAGACCUCCCUACUUUGGAAGCAAGUCAUGGCCCGAGCUGAUAAGUGGAAUGUCUUUUAGUUUGACUAGGUAGGUACUGUAUUUUAGCUGUGGGUUUUAUAGAGUUGUACAAAGACCAAGAGAAGUUCAUGUGUCAGUCUAAUGCAGAGGUAUCCAACUCUGGCGCUUCAGAUGUUCAUGGACUACAAUUUCCAUCAGCCCCUGUUGGCAUGGCCAAUUGAUGGGAAUUGUAGUCCAUAAACAUCUGAAGCGCUAGAGUUGGACAACCCUGGUCUAAUGUAUAGAUAUCUUCAUUUUGUUUAUUCUGAUGCACCAUUUUCAUCAGUUAUCCCAAAAGCAUAGCCAUAUUAGUUUGUUUACAGAAGUCCAGUAGCAUUCUGAAAUUAAUAAAAUAUAUUCCAGCCUAA